CUCAUCAAACGACUCCUUGCAGAGAUGCUUACAGGCGGCAUCACUGCACCUCAGACAGGUGUGAGCAAUGGGCGUACCUGCCUUCAGAAGGGCGAUGUGUUUACCUGGUUGCGGCCAAUCCCAUAUUAACCCUUCUCCUCCCGCGUGGACCCCCCCCCCCCCCCCGGGAGAAGAAACAGGGAACUUCAAUGGAGGGGACGCCCUGCUCCGGGAUGGGGGAGGGGAGCAGAGGCGGCAGGAGGCGGCAGGAGGCGGCAACCCUUCGGACCUGCUGUGAUUUAUUUGUUUUCGCAGACGAAAAGGGAAAAGGAAAACCAAAAAACAAAAUAGGCAGCACAGAAGGACCGCAAGGCACCGCUCAUUUUCAGACACUCCUGGCAUUUCAGAUGGAGUGGAAGGUGCAGCGGGACACGAAGGGAACGAAAGUUGAACGUGAGGAAAUUAUUUGCUAUGGGAGAGCAGGAGCUCCCAUUCUGCCCCUCAGCUAAACGUGUGUUGUGCACCCGGCCCGCAAGGAGCGCAGAGACAGCCCCGAAGGAAACAGAAUGCGCACUCAUCGCCCUGCUUCUGGUCCCUUCGCGACUGGUUUAGUUAUUUCAAAAAUGGAAUUGGACGUUUCUUUCCCUUCAAAUGUAUACUUGCAACACCCCCAUGCUUGCACCACCUCCAUGCUAAUAUGCCCGACUCCUACCCUCCCGAAGCCUUGUCCUUUUAUGGGAAAGCCAGCUCUGAUGAGCACGUGAGCCCGUCCCAAGGAACACAAGACACCGGCCUGUCCUCAGGCCAGAGACGAGCCCACUGAGUCUUGUCCCUACUGUGGGUCAAGGGGCGUAUUACCAACGUACGCGUGAUUAAAACUCAUCAAAGGGAGUAAGCCUAAGUCUCAGUCCUUCUCCAGAGAAAGGGAAACGCCAUCUGGGAAGUCCCCAGCGUUAUGAUGACAGCUACAAACUGCCAGUCACUCAUGGCUCCCAAACAAAGAGUCCAACUGCAACAGGGACUCGACUUGUUCAGAACGUGCUGGUGUGGACCAGCGCCCCAAACAAAAGAGCAAGCACGCAGGUACAGAGACCCACCCCUGACCCCCAGAAGCUCAAAAGCUCAAAAUCUUAUAGCUUUAGGGGAAACCUCAUCAGAGGCAGCAGGCCGAGGCCUCAAGCUGCGGGCCUGACUGUACUGCAUAACCGGGCACACCACGGACCUUGAACUACACGGCUCAACAAUGCUUCCUGGCAGUAAAUUUGCCAUCAGGGUAACUAUAAUUAAUACAAACACUACUCAGAGUUACGGAGGAAACAGAAAUACAGUUUUGUGGAGGACCCUUGGGUUUUUCACGAAAGAAUUGCAAAAUCUGCCCACCCGGAUACGUAUAAAUCUGAGGAUUAUUUUACAAAUCAUCACAAUGACAAAACUGUACAGUCUGGCAACUCAGCUGUCACGGAUGUUAACUUAAACCUCUAGCUUUCAGAAGUAAGUGCCUACGAUUCCAUUACUGCUAGAACAGGCACUUUAAAGUCAUAUCAGCCCAUAUAUAAAGUAUUCUGACCCAAGUCCUACAAGAAAUAAGGAGGACCUGGACAUUUAUAAUUGCACUUGACCUGACCGUGAAGCUAUAAUCAAGAGACCAGGACACUUUCAAUACCAACUUGGACCAAGCUGAAUACUUUCCAAACCAUACACCAUAGGGCAUCCUUACAGGUUAAAUGAUGCACACAAUUUUAAUGCAGGCUAGCGUGACGUCCCCCGAAAUGAAAUUUGACCCGGUAUCUCCAGGGAGAUGUUCAUCCCCAUCCAUGAAGACCUAACCAUGAGACCCUCCCGAGCGUUAAUGAGCAUGGCCCUCAAAUUCCAGACGACACCUUAGCGUUUUACUGCCCGUUAAAAAAAAGGUAGAGCAAGGCAGCGGUGCCAGCUGGGAGCAGGGAAAACAGAAGAUAAAGUGUUUCCACCUAUUAGAGUUGGAGGGAACGACAAGCUCAAUCAGAAUAUUUCAUAUAGAAACUCAUCCGCUCAUCUGGCUUUCAUCAUCAAAAACAAUCUUCCACUACGGCUAUUCUGUCCUCCCUACAUGGAACUAAACUGCCCAAACUAGUAGGGAGACCAGCCAUUUUAUGACGCUUUGGACUCUCUCAAAAUCUGGCCUAGCAUUUAGGCCAUAAUAGAUGCUCCAUACAUAAUCCUUGAUAAUAAUAAAGAAGGAAAAGAAGGAAGAAAAGGAUAGAAAAGAGUCUCUCGGUUGUAGUCUUGAAUGCGGAGAAUAAUUAUAGGUAAUGAACAGACCCGAAAUGAAGAAACAACUUCAGUUUUUCUCUUGUGACUUCAGCUAAGACUGCCCAACACCCCUGAUUAAACCCGGGUGCAAGUUCAGAAGGUUCUAUCUUGUCAUUCGGAAUCAGCUGUUCCUCAGCUUAGAUGGAGUUCUUCGAGGAGUUCUUGCCAUUCAUUCAACUGGGGUCUGUGGAACACAUUUAACCCGAAUGGCGUUUAUCCUACCCUGGCUCAGCUAACAGCAAGGCGUGACAACUGGAUUUUUAGUUGAGUGUUCUCUUGGAUGGCAUCCUAGUGAGAUAAGACAGAGCAAAAGAAGCCAUGUCUGCGGGCACACAUCUCUAAUGAGGGGUGAAGUUUCAUUGGUGUGUGGGCAACAGUACGCAUUCUAGGCUAGAGGACCACUCGUGUCAUUAACAAGACUCUAAAUCCCAACAGCGCUUUGUAAUACAUCCUGUAUUACAAAAGUUCAUAACUUCCUGUCAGAGUUGACAAUUACUCCUUUUUUUUUUUUUUACCCACAGCAUGCAGCAGCUUGAUAGAUCUCACUUCCCAGGCAGGGAUUCAACCUGGGCCACAGCAGUGAAUCCUAACCACUAGACCACCAGGGAACUCCCCAGCAAUUAUUCUUGAGAAAGGUUGAUCUUCCUAAAUUAGGUAGUCAGGAAUAUUAACUUAACAUGAGGGUUUUUCCACCCAGAGGCAUCUUUCUCCUGUACCAACAAGAGCCCCACGUGCCAAGGAUAAUGGUAAACGUUUUAUGCAUAUUACCUACUCACAGCAAUUUUGAAAGGUAGAAAUUACCUUCUCCAUUUCACAGGUUAGGAAGCUCAGAGAGGUUAAAUAAUUUGUCAAAGGUCACACAGCUAUCCAAUGAAAGAGUUAGAAGCUAAAACCAGCUCUUAGAUGCAAAAGGCCAUAUCCUUAUUGGUUACACAACUCAUGGCCUGAAACUUCAUCCCAUACUCAUGAAGCGAGGGCUGAACUCUCUCUCACUUCAUUUGGAACCACUUACCGGGUUCCUCCUCUUCUCGGAGUGGCCAAUGGGGUUGGGAAUCAUACUCACAGGUAGAAAUCGGAUUUCUCUGCAAACUCCCCCAUUUAUAUGAUUUAGCACUUCGUAAAGGAAUUAUUUUAUUAUUAGUAUUGUUGCUGUUGUUACUGCUAAGGUUACACUAAGUCACAAGGCAGCACUAUAUUUUCAAAGGUGGACUAAAUUAAAAACAUGAAACAGAGCUGUCUGUUAUCCUACGGAGAUAUAAAAGUAACAAGCUAAUUCAGAAAGGACCUGAUGAGUUAGUAAUCUAAAAAAAAUUGUUCUUGGCAAAUUUCUUUCUAAGAAAACAAAGAAGUAAAACAUCAACUUAUAAAACAAAAUGAGCCAAAGGAUGCCUCCAUCGUAAAUGUGAACGGAUUGUUUGAAAGGAGGUUGCAACCUGCUUUGGAAGAAAAGUCCUGCCUAUGCCAGAAACCUCCGCCAUUAAGAGCACUGAGCACUUUUGCUCCUACUGAAAUCUUCUAAAUCCUCUCUAUGCUUGAUUUGACAUUUAGAACUGUAAAUGCAAACAAAUAAACAAAAACCUCAU
rnacentral:lncRNA from 1 species